AGCGGACGACGAGGCUCGAACUCGCGACCUCAACCUUGGCAAGGUUGCGCUCUACCAACUGAGCUACGUCCGC
rnacentral:tRNA from 2 species